UCCGAAUUGGUGUAUCGGCUAGCAUUUCCGCCUUUCAUAACAUUCGGGCGCGGGAGAGACGGGUUCGAUUCCCGUAUUCGGAA
rnacentral:tRNA from 1 species